rnacentral:rRNA from 1 species
AUUGAACGCUGGCGGGAUGCUUAACACAUGCAAGUCGAACGAGUGGCGGACGGGUGAGUAAUAUAUGGGAACGUGCCCAGUGGCGGGGGAUAACUACUGGAAAGGGUGGCUAAUACCGCAUACUAUUGGAGCGGCCGAUAUGGGAUUAGCUAGUUGGUGGGGUAAAGGCGCACCAAGGCGACGAUCCGUAGCUGGUUUGAGAGGAUGACCAGCCACACUGGGACGGAGACACGGCCCAGACUCCUACGGGAGGCAGCAGUGGGGAAUUUUGGACAAUGGGGGCAAGCCUGAUCCAGCCAUCCCGCGUGUAUGAGAAGGCCUUCGGGUUGUAAAGUACUUUUGGCAGAGAAGCGGUAUCUGCAGAAUAAGCACCGGCUAACUACGUGCCAGCAGCCGCGGUAAUUC